UACGUAGGGGGCAAGCGUUGUCCGGAUUUAUUGGGCUUAAAGCGUACGUAGGCGGCUUUGUAAGUUAGAGGUGAAAGCCCGGGGCUCAACUCCGGAAUUGCCUUUAAGACUGCAUCGCUUGAAUCAUGGAGAGGUGAGUGGAAUUCCGAGUGUAGAGGUGAAAUUCGUAGAUAUUCGGAAGAACACCAGUGGCGAAGGCGACUCACUGGACAUGUAUUGACGCUGAGGUACGAAAGCGUGGGGAGCAAACAGG
rnacentral:rRNA from 1 species